rnacentral:rRNA from 1 species
AGUGAACGCUGGCGGUAGGCCUAACACAUGCAAGUCGAACGGCAGCACAGUAAGAGCUUGCUCUUACGGGUGGCGAGUGGCGGACGGGUGAGGAAUACAUCGGAAUCUACUUUUUCGUGGGGGAUAACGUAGGGAAACUUACGCUAAUACCGCAUACGACCUCCGUGUGAAAGCAGGGGAUCUUCGGACCUUGCGCGAUUGAAUGAGCCUAUGUCGGAUUAGCUAGUUGGCGGGGGAAAGGCCCACCAAGGCGACGAUGCGUAGCUGGUCUGAGAGGAUGAUCAGCCACAUGGGAACUGAGAAACGGUCCAGACACCUACGGGAGGCAGCAGUGGGGAAUAUUGGACAAUGGGCGCAAGCCUGAUCCAGCCAUACCGCGUGGGGGAAGAAGGACUUAGGGUUGUAAAGCCCUUUUGUUGGGAAAGAAAAGCAGCAGGUUAAUACCCCGCUGUUAUGACGGUACCCAAAGAAUAAGCACCGGCUAACUUCGUG